ensembl:snRNA LOC120094945 U6atac minor spliceosomal RNA
GUGCUGUAUGAAAGCAGAGAAGGCUAGAGUUCCUCUUAACAAGUAUGAAAGGGGCCCUUGGCCUGACAGCACACAUAUAGUUAAGACAUUGCCUUUGUCUUCAUGGUAUAUAGAAUUAAUUUGAAAUUUGU